rnacentral:rRNA from 1 species
UAGUGGAGGUAGAGCACUGAAUGGGCUAGGGGGCAUAGCGCUUACCGAACCUUAUCAAACUCCGAAUGCCACAUACUAUUAGUCCGGCAGUCAGACUGCGAAAGAUAAGUUCCGUAGUCAAAAGGGAAACAGCCCAGAUCGUCAGCUAAGGUCCCAAAGUGUAAGUUAAGUGGAAAAGGAUGUGGGAUUUCUAAGACAACUAGGAUGUUGGCUUAGAAGCAGCCACUCAUUAAAAGAGUGCGUAAUAGCUCACUAGUCGAGAGAUCCUGCGCCGAAGAUGUCCGGGGCUCAAACUUACCACCGAAGCUACGGGUUCACACUUAUGUGUGAGCGGUAGAGGAGCGUCGUAAUCGGGCUGAAGUCGUACCGUAAGGAGCGGUGGACUGAUUACGAGUGAGAAUGUUGGCAUUAGUAGCGAGAUGUGGGUGAGAAUCCCACAGGCCGAAUAUCUAAGGUUUCCUCAGGAAGGUUCGUCCGCUGAGGGUUAGUCGGGACCUAAGCCGAGGCCGAAAGGCGUAGGCGAUGGACAAUCGGUUGAUAUUCCGAUACCACUACUGAUCGUUAUUAUCGAUGGUGUGACGGAGAAGGAUAGAGUGUGCUAGCUAUUGGAUGCUAGUCUAAGCGUUUAGGGAGUUAGGAAAGGCAAAUCCGUCCUAACAAUUCUGAGGCGUGAUGGGGAAGGUUCUACGGAACCGAAGUACUUGAUUCCAUGCUUCCAAGAAAAGCAUCUAGAGAGAGAUGUAGUGCCCGUACCGCAAACCGACACAGGUAGAUGAGGAGAGAAUCCUAAGGCCGGCGGAAGAAUCACAGUUAAGGAACUAGGCAAAUUGACCCCGUAACUUAGGGAGAAGGGGUGCCUGUGAGAGCAGGCCGCAGAGAAUAGGCCCAAGCAACUGUUUAGCAAAAACACAGGUCUCUGCUAAAGCGAAAGCUGAUGUAUAGGGGCUGACGCCUGCCCGGUGCUGGAAGGUUAAGGGGAACACUUAGCGCAAGCGAAGGUGUGAACUUAAGCCCCAGUAAACGGCGGCCGUAACUAUAACGGUCCUAAGGUAGCGAAAUUCCUUGUCAGGUAAGUUCUGACCCGCACGAACAAUGUCGUCAACUUAGUAAAUUAAGACAGGUAAAAAUAUACUUAUAUCUAAUUAUUUUUAUUUGAGUUAUUUAA